UGGAUCAUUAUCCUGAUCACUUUCUUCUUGAAUUGAGGAUGAUGCUUUAAGAGAAACUCCUUUCUUUUUCUUGUCAUUUUCUUCAUGUUGGUGUAAUCUCAAUAAUUCCAUCUCGUGUUCCUGCAACUUUCCAAAUAGAGUGGCAAGGGACAUGUUAGAUAAAUCUCUUGAUUCAGAAAUGGCCGUUACUUUGGGUUGCCAUUCUCUACUUAAACAUCUUAAC
rnacentral:lncRNA from 1 species